ACCCCCAUCCGGGCAGGCGGGCGGACAUGCCUCGGGCAAUCCUUCAGCCCCUUCCUCCCCCUUUUCUCUCCAAACGCUGCGCCCCACGGGCCGAGUUCCCGAGGCGCCGCGGAAGGACCGAGGUGUAGAGUCCGGUGCGCGGGUGCGGAAGGAGCGUCUCCGCCGGAGCCUCAGUGGCCAGCGCGGAUCCGUGUGUCGUCCCUCCCUCCUGUGGCUUUCUGAUUUGGGGCGGGAGUGGGUGGGAAAUGCCAGGGCGAAGGGGAGGGGGAGCCACGUUGCAUAUCAGUGUGAGGCAGCACCCGUGGCCACCCCUCGCUUCCAUCGCCCCUUAUGUUUUCUUCUCCUGCCUACCGUUGAAUGAGCAGGGUUGGACUCGAAAAGUCAGAACUAAUCUCUGCGAGUAUGUGUGUGACGUACAUGUCUUGCUGAGGGGUUGCGGACGGGAGCGGAUUGGUGUCAGGCAUCGCGGAGGCUGCGCUAGAUUGGGCAAGGGAGAGUGGUGCGGUGUGGCCCUUCCUCGCGCCCUAACCCCGCCGAUCGCCGGCGCUCGCCAGGGCCGUACGGAACACCGGUAG
rnacentral:lncRNA from 1 species